AAAGGUACUCAAGGGCACUGUAGUGGAUGCCUAGACGUAUAUUACCGAUGAAGGACGUGGAAGACUGCGAUAAGCUUCGGGUAGCUGUCAACAAGCUUUGAUCCGGAGAUUUCCGAAUGGGGAAACCCAACACGAGUCAUGUCGUGUUACCCUUGUCUGAAUACAUAGGACAUGAGGCGGGAACCAUCUGAACUGAAACAUCUUAGUAGGAUGAGGAAAAGAAAGUAAAUAACGAUUCUCGGAGUAGUGGCGAGCGAAACGGGAAGAGCCCAAACCUUAUAAGUUUUUGCCUGUUCGCAGGCAAAUAAGCUGAUAGGCGAAUGCUUACAAGGGGUUGUGAUAUUACACACGACCAAGCCAGAGAACUUGAAUUCGUUCGAGGUAUCUGGUUUGCGACUACUGGCUAUCAACGGUAGGUAAGGUAAGAAAACGGCGUGGUUAGCAGAAUAGUUUGAAUGGCUAGCCAAAGAACGUGAAAGCCGUGUACGCAAAAACGACGCUGACCUUAUAUGUGUUUUAUCGAGUAGGACGGGGCACGAGAAACCCUGUUUGAAUCUGGCUGGACCACCAGCCAAGGCUAAAUAUAAUAUACGAUCGAUAGUGAACUAGUACAGCGAUGGAAAGGUGAAAAGAACCCCGGGAGGGGAGUGAAAUAGAUCCUGAAAUUUAGUGCCUACAAGGAGUCGGAGCCGGCUUGUCCGGUGACGGCGUGCUUUUUGUAGAACGAUCCAGCGAGUUAAUUUUUACAGCGAGGUUAAGUCAAUUGACGGAGCCACAGUGAAAGCGAGCCUGAAUAGGGCGUUUAGUUGUAAGGAUUAGACCCGAAACCGGGUGACCUAACCAUGAGCAGGUUGAAGCCACUGUAACAGGUGGUGGAGGACCGAACCAGGAUACGCAGCAAAGUGUUUGGAUGACUUGUGGUUAGCGGUGAAAUGCCAAUCGAACUCGGAGAUAGCUGGUUCUCCUCGAAAUAGCUUUAGGGCUAGCGUCAUGUUAGUAAUGUAUGGGGGUAGAGCUCUGUAAAGGAUUGGGGCGGGCAACUGUACCCACCCUUAACAAACUACGAAUACCGUAUAUGUAAUCAUGGCAGUUAGAACAUCGGUGCUAAGAUCGGUGCUCAAAAGGGAAACAGCCCAGACCAUCAUCUAAGGUCCCUAAAUAUACAUUAAGUGGGAAACAAGGUGAAAUUUCUUAAACAGCGAGGAUGUUGGCUUAGAAGCAGCCAUUCAUUUAAAGAGUGCGUAACAGCUCACUCGUCAAGAGAUUUUGCGUGGAAAAUGUAACGGGGCUAAAUGUAUUACCGAAGAUAUGGAUUAUUACAUUAGUAAUAGUGGUAGAGGAGCGUUCCUAUCAGCAGUGAAGCAGUAUUGAAAAGUAUUGUGGAGCGGUAGGAAGUGAGAAUGCUGGAAUGAGUAACCAUAAGAUAGGUGAGAAUCCUGUCGGCCGUAAGAGCAAGGUUUCCUGAGCUAUGGUAAUCAUCUCAGGGUUAGUCGGGCCUAAGCCGAGGCGCAGAGCGUAGGCGAUGGACAUCAGGUUAAUAUUCCUGAACCGGUUAAGUUUUGUACACUGUUCACGGGGAAGUAAUCGAAGCGGAUUCAUGGUUUAUCCGUCCAACCGAGCGGGAACGCAAAGGGAGUGAAAGUGAUUCUUCGGAGUCGCGAUUUUGGUGAAAGCCCUGGCUAGAAAAGCAGGUGUACGCGUGGACUUAGCCGCCCGUACCGCAAACCAACACAGGUGCUCGAGUCGAGUAGACUCAGGCUUACGAGAGAACCUUCGCUAAGGAACUCGGCAAUACAGCGACCGUAACUUCGGGAUAAGGUCUGCCCCCACUUCGGUGGAUAUCAGCCGCGUUCACUCAGUGAAUAAUAGGUUAAAGAGUACAUUUUUAAUCACAAAACGAAUUUUCUGAGACACGAGCAAACAAAUUGCUCUUUGAACGCGAACCUCUUGUAUCUAACGAUGUGGGGGCCGCAGCAAAAGAGCCCACGGAACUGUUUAUCAAAAACACAGGUCUCUGCUAACACGAAAGUGGAUGUAUAGGGGCUGACUCCUGCCCAAUGCUGGAAGGUUAAGGGGAGCGCUUCACGGUGCGAACUGAAGCCCUAGUCAAUGGCGGCGGUAACUAUAACCGUCCUAAGGUAGCGAAAUUCCUUGUCAGGUAAGUUC
rnacentral:rRNA from 1 species